rnacentral:rRNA from 1 species
UGUGGGGACGGAGAAGGUUAGGUCAGCCGGGCGUUGGACGUCCCGGUUUAAGCGUGUAGGCGUGCCCCUUAGGCAAAUCCGGGGGGCUGAGCUGAGGCGUGAUGACGAGGAACCACGGUUCCGAAGUGAUUGAUACCAAGCUUCCAGGAAAAGCCACUAAGCUUCAGUCUAGAGUUGACCGUACCGCAAACCGACACAGGUGGGCAGGAUGAAAAUUCUAAGGCGCUUGAGAGAACUCAGGAGAAGGAACUCGGCAAAUUAACACCGUAACUUCGGGAGAAGGUGUGCCCCGGUAGCGUGUAGAGACUUGCUCUCGAAGCGCGAUGGGGUUGCAGUGAAAUGGUGGCUGCGACUGUUUAAUAAAAACACAGCACUCCGCAAACACGAAAGUGGACGUAUAGGGUGUGACGCCUGCCCGGUGCCGGAAGGUUAAGUGAUGGGGUGCAAGCUCUUGAUCGAAGCCCCGGUAAACGGCGGCCGUAACAAUAACGGUCCUAAGGUAGCGAAAUUCCUUGUCGGGUAAGUUCCGACCUGCACGAAUGGCGUAACGAUGGCCACACUGUCUCCUCCUGGGACUCAGCGAAGUUGAAAUGUUUGUGAAGAUGCAAUCUACCCGCGGCUAGACGGAAAGACCCCAUGAACCUUUACUGUAGCUUUGCAUUGGACUUUGAACCGGUUUGUGUAGGAUAGGUGGGAGACUGUGAAGCCGGGACGCUAGUUUCGGUGGAGUCAACCUUGAAAUACCACCCUGAUUUGUUUGAGGUUCUAACCUUGGUCCGUGAAUCCGGAUCGGGGACCGUGCAUGGUAGGCAGUUUGACUGGGGCGGUCUCCUCCCAAAAGGUAACGGAGGAGUACGAAGGUACGCUUAGGGCGGUCGGACAUCGCCCACAAAGUGCAAUGGCAAAAGCGUGCUUGACUGCGAGACCCACAAGUCGAGCAGGUACGAAAGUAGGUCAUAGUGAUCCGGUGGUUCUGUAUGGAAGGGCCAUCGCUCAACGGAUAAAAGGUACUCUGGGGAUAACAGGCUAAUUCCUCCCAAGAGUUCAUAUCGACGGGGGAGUUUGGCACCUCGAUGUCGGCUCAUCACAUCCUGGGGCUGUAGUCGGUCCCAAGGGUAUGGCUGUCCGCCAUUUAAAGUGGUACGCGAGCUGGGUUUAAAACGUCGUGAGGCAGUUUGGUCCCUAUCUGCCGUGGGCGCUGGAAAUUUGAAGGGGGCUGCUCCUAGUACGAGAGGACCGGAGUGGACGAACCUCUGGUGUACCGGUUAUGACGCCAGUCGUAUCGCCGGGUAGCUAAGUUCGGAAGAGAUAAACGCUGAAAGCAUCUAAGCGUGAGACUCGCCUUAAGAUAAGAUUUCCCGGAGUCUUGAACUCCCUGAAGGGUCGUCGAAGACCACGACGUUGAUAGGUCAGGUGUGGAAGCGCAGCAAUGCGUCAAGCUAACUGAUACUAAUUGCCCGUGCGGCUUGAC